UACGAAGGGGACUAGCGUUGUUCGGAAUUACUGGGCGUAAAGCGCGCGUAGGCGGAUCGCUAAGUCAGGGGUGAAAUCCCAGGGCUCAACCCUGGAACUGCCUUUGAUACUGACGAUCUGGAGAUCGGGAGAGGUUGGUGGAAUUCCGAGUGUAGAGGUGAAAUUCGUAGAUAUUCGCAAGAACACCAGUGGCGAAGGCGGCUCACUGGCCCGGUACUGACGCUGAGGUGCGAAAGCGUGGGGAGCAAACAGG
rnacentral:rRNA from 1 species